UUUACUAACUUACUAUUCUAUGAAAAUGGUGUCCCAGAGAAGGUGUGACAUAGAUUUACCCUUGACAGCUCAUUAAACAGGUUCCAAACUGCUUGCCACAGUGUCUGGACUAAUGUGCAUUCCCACCAACAGUCUACCUGGAAAAAACACAAGAUGAAGAGAGUUACAGUAAAUAAAUAACUACUUCAGGCACUGCCAAUCCCAAAAUCUCAGUGCCCUAAACUGAAAAGGCAAAGAAGGUGUAAAUUUUGGAAGUGAGUUUGAAGAUUAUCUUUGGACUGAAAAAAAGUUGUAUAUUACUUCAGAUUGACCAGAGAGCUGUGGGAUCUACCCAAGAUUAUAUCAAGAGGUAGAAAAGGGAAAGCUAGAGAAAAAGCAAUGCGGGGAACCAUUGGAUACUCUUCGAAGAGCAGAAAGAUAAAGGAAAAUGCUGGCGAAAGUUGUGAUGAUCCAGGAAACCAAGUGUUACAUAAUUUCUUCUAUAUUUCAUAUUAUAAAACUGGCCACAAGGUAUCACAGAAGAUAGGACAGGGUAGGGAAUGCAGUUGCCUUACGUGCCCAGGAAAAUAUUGUAAUGGUUUGAUGAAUACAUGGCAUCACCUUGGCCAUAAAUUCUGAGAAAAUUUUGUAUUAUUUAACCACAAUUAAAGAUACCUUUAACGCUA